rnacentral:rRNA from 1 species
GAUGAACGCUAGCGGCAGGCCUAAUACAUGCAAGUCGAGGGGCAGCAGGAAUAGCAAUAUUCGCUGGCGACCGGCGCACGGGUGCGUAACACGUAUACAAUCUGCCUUUAACUGGGGGAUAGCCCGGAGAAAUCCGGAUUAAUACCCCAUAAUAAUUUGACUGGCAUCAGUUAGAUUUGAAAGCUCCGGCGGUUAGAGAUGAGUAUGCGACUGAUUAGCUAGUUGGUGAGGUAACGGCUCACCAAGGCGACGAUCAGUA